CAAGGAGUAGUUUAAAAUANAAUAUCAA
rnacentral:tRNA from 1 species